AGCUUUGCACAGUGGCAGUAUCAUAGCCAAUGAGGUUUAUCCGAUGUGCAAUUAUUGUUAAUUGAAAACUUUUCCCAAUAGCCAUCAGGAUGACUUGAAAUACAGUCAGCAUUGACAAUUUUUGACAGUCUCUACAGAGA
ensembl:snRNA U4 U4 spliceosomal RNA